rnacentral:rRNA from 1 species
GACGAACGCUGGCGGCGUGCUUAACACAUGCAAGUCGAACGGAAAGACCCUGCUUUUGUGGGGUGCUCGAGUGGCGAACGGGUGAGUAACACGUGUGUAACCUGCCCUUGUCUUUGGGAUAACUCUAGGAAACUGGGGCUAAUACAGGAUAGGAUCUCUUGCUCCAUGGUGUUCGUUGGAAAGUUUCGGCGGUUGGGGCUGGAUUCGCGGCUUAUGAGCUUGUUGGUGGGGUUGUGGCUUACCAAGGUUAUGACGGGUAGCCGGCCUGAGAGGGUGACCGGCGACAUUGGGACUGAGAUACGGCGCAGAAUCCUACGGGAGGCAGCAGGGGAGAGUAUGGCACAAUGGGCGGAAGCGUGAGGCAGCGACGCCGCGUGCGGGAUGACGGCCUACGGGGUGUAAACCGCUUUCGCCUGUGACGAAGCGGGAGUGACGGUAAUGGGUAAAGAAGCACCGGCUAACUACGUG